UACAGAGGGUGCGAGCGUUAAUCGGAAUUACUGGGCGUAAAGCGUGCGUAGACGGUUAUUUACGUCGGAUGUGAAAGCCCCGGGCUCAACCUGGGAAUGGCGAUGAAGACUGCAAGGCUUGAAUCUGGCAGAGGGGGGUAGAAUUCCACGUGUAGCAGUGGAAUGCGUAGAGAUGUGGAGGAACACCGAUGGCGAAGGCAGCCCCCUGGGUCAAGAUUGACGCUCAUGCACGAAAGCGUGGGGAGCAAACAGG
rnacentral:rRNA from 1 species